rnacentral:rRNA from 1 species
AUGGCUGAACCAAACCAAGUAAUUGUGGUGUGGAACGUCCGUGGUAUUAACAACCCGGCUAAAAGAGAUGCAAUAAAGAACCUUAUUUUGUAUUCGGGUGCGAGUGUGAUGUGCUUACAGGAAACAAAGGUGCAGGACAUGAACCUGGGGCUAGUCCAGUAGUGUCUAGGGCCAGCAUUUGACAACUUCUUUUACGUGCCGGCCGUGGGGACAAGAGGCGGGGUGUUGUUGGCAUGCAACUCC